rnacentral:lncRNA from 1 species
AACAAAAUAACUAGAUUGGCAAGGUCACAACAAUAUGAAAGACAAAAGGUAGGCCGUCAAGGCCAACUUACUGAUAAUGAACUAGCAUGCCGACGAGGCAUCAUCUGAGACUAUGAAUACAAUAAACCGAUAAGGCUAUAAAUGAAAGCUGAGAAGACCCAACCAAAAAUGUCCACAAGUCUCUACGAAUACUACAACUCAACUGGUUGGAGUAAGUCCACAAUGACGCCAAUAACUAUAUAUAGAAAACUCAAGUAUGUAAAAUCUAUAAACAAGC